rnacentral:rRNA from 1 species
GAUGAACGCUGGCGGCGUGCCUAAUACAUGCAAGUCGAGCGAACGGACGAGAAGCUUGCUUCUCUGAUGCUAGCGGCGGACGGGUGAGUAACACGUGGAUAACCUACCUAUAAGACUGGGAUAACUUCGGGAAACCGGAGCUAAUACCGGAUAAUAUUUUGAACCGCAUGGUUCAAAAGUGAAAGACGGUCUUGCUGUCACUUAUAGAUGGAUCCGCGCUGCAUUAGCUAGUUGGUAAGGUAACGGCUUACCAAGGCAACGAUGCAUAGCCGACCUGAGAGGGUGAUCGGCCACACUGGAACUGAGACACGGUCCAGACUCCUAUGGGAGGCAGCAGUAGGGAAUCUUCCGCAAUGGGCGAAAGCCUGACGGAGCAACGCCGCGUGAGUGAUGAAGGUCUUCGGAUCGUAAAACUCUGUUAUUAGGGAAGAACAUAUGUGUAAGUAGCUGUGCACAUCUUGACGGUACCUAAUCAGAAAGCCACGGCUAACUACGUG